UUAAGCGACUAAGCGUACACGGUGGAUGCCCUGGCAGUCAGAGGCGAUGAAGGACGUGCUAAUCUGCGAUAAGCGUCGGUAAGGUGAUAUGAACCGUUAUAACCGGCGAUUUCCGAAUGGGGAAACCCAGUGUGUUUCGACACACUAUCAUUAACUGAAUCCAUAGGUUAAUGAGGCGAACCGGGGGAACUGAAACAUCUAAGUACCCCGAGGAAAAGAAAUCAACCGAGAUUCCCCCAGUAGCGGCGAGCGAACGGGGAGGAGCCCAGAGCCUGAAUCAGUGUGUGUGUUAGUGGAAGCGUCUGGAAAGGCGCGCGAUACAGGGUGACAGCCCCGUACACAAAAAUGCACAUGCUGUGAGCUCGAUGAGUAGGGCGGGACACGUGGUAUCCUGUCUGAAUAUGGGGGGACCAUCCUCCAAGGCUAAAUACUCCUGACUGACCGAUAGUGAACCAGUACCGUGAGGGAAAGGCGAAAAGAACCCCGGCGAGGGGAGUGAAAAAGAACCUGAAACCGUGUACGUACAAGCAGUGGGAGCACGCUUAGGCGUGUGACUGCGUACCUUUUGUAUAAUGGGUCAGCGACUUAUAUUCUGUAGCAAGGUUAACCGAAUAGGGGAGCCGAAGGGAAACCGAGUCUUAACUGGGCGUUAAGUUGCAGGGUAUAGACCCGAAACCCGGUGAUCUAGCCAUGGGCAGGUUGAAGGUUGGGUAACACUAACUGGAGGACCGAACCGACUAAUGUUGAAAAAUUAGCGGAUGACUUGUGGCUGGGGGUGAAAGGCCAAUCAAACCGGGAGAUAGCUGGUUCUCCCCGAAAGCUAUUUAGGUAGCGCCUCGUGAAUUCAUCUCCGGGGGUAGAGCACUGUUUCGGCAAGGGGGUCAUCCCGACUUACCAACCCGAUGCAAACUGCGAAUACCGGAGAAUGUUAUCACGGGAGACACACGGCGGGUGCUAACGUCCGUCGUGAAGAGGGAAACAACCCAGACCGCCAGCUAAGGUCCCAAAGUCAUGGUUAAGUGGGAAACGAUGUGGGAAGGCCCAGACAGCCAGGAUGUUGGCUUAGAAGCAGCCAUCAUUUAAAGAAAGCGUAAUAGCUCACUGGUCGAGUCGGCCUGCGCGGAAGAUGUAACGGGGCUAAACCAUGCACCGAAGCUGCGGCAGCGACGCUUAUGCGUUGUUGGGUAGGGGAGCGUUCUGUAAGCCUGUGAAGGUGUGCUGUGAGGCAUGCUGGAGGUAUCAGAAGUGCGAAUGCUGACAUAAGUAACGAUAAAGCGGGUGAAAAGCCCGCUCGCCGGAAGACCAAGGGUUCCUGUCCAACGUUAAUCGGGGCAGGGUGAGUCGACCCCUAAGGCGAGGCCGAAAGGCGUAGUCGAUGGGAAACAGGUUAAUAUUCCUGUACUUGGUGUUACUGCGAAGGGGGGACGGAGAAGGCUAUGUUGGCCGGGCGACGGUUGUCCCGGUUUAAGCGUGUAGGCUGGUUUUCCAGGCAAAUCCGGAAAAUCAAGGCUGAGGCGUGAUGACGAGGCACUACGGUGCUGAAGCAACAAAUGCCCUGCUUCCAGGAAAAGCCUCUAAGCAUCAGGUAACAUCAAAUCGUACCCCAAACCGACACAGGUGGUCAGGUAGAGAAUACCAAGGCGCUUGAGAGAACUCGGGUGAAGGAACUAGGCAAAAUGGUGCCGUAACUUCGGGAGAAGGCACGCUGAUAUGUAGGUGAAGUCCCUCGCGGAUGGAGCUGAAAUCAGUCGAAGAUACCAGCUGGCUGCAACUGUUUAUUAAAAACACAGCACUGUGCAAACACGAAAGUGGACGUAUACGGUGUGACGCCUGCCCGGUGCCGGAAGGUUAAUUGAUGGGGUCAGCGCAAGCGAAGCUCUUGAUCGAAGCCCCGGUAAACGGCGGCCGUAACUAUAACGGUCCUAAGGUAGCGAAAUUCCUUGUCGGGUAAGUUCCGACCUGCACGAAUGGCGUAAUGAUGGCCAGGCUGUCUCCACCCGAGACUCAGUGAAAUUGAACUCGCUGUGAAGAUGCAGUGUACCCGCGGCAAGACGGAAAGACCCCGUGAACCUUUACUAUAGCUUGACACUGAACAUUGAGCCUUGAUGUGUAGGAUAGGUGGGAGGCUUAGAAGUGUGGACGCCAGUCUGCAUGGAGCCGACCUUGAAAUACCACCCUUUAAUGUUUGAUGUUCUAACGUUGACCCGUAAUCCGGGUUGCGGACAGUGUCUGGUGGGUAGUUUGACUGGGGCGGUCUCCUCCUAAAGAGUAACGGAGGAGCACGAAGGUUGGCUAAUCCUGGUCGGACAUCAGGAGGUUAGUGCAAUGGCAUAAGCCAGCUUGACUGCGAGCGUGACGGCGCGAGCAGGUGCGAAAGCAGGUCAUAGUGAUCCGGUGGUUCUGAAUGGAAGGGCCAUCGCUCAACGGAUAAAAGGUACUCCGGGGAUAACAGGCUGAUACCGCCCAAGAGUUCAUAUCGACGGCGGUGUUUGGCACCUCGAUGUCGGCUCAUCACAUCCUGGGGCUGAAGUAGGUCCCAAGGGUAUGGCUGUUCGCCAUUUAAAGUGGUACGCGAGCUGGGUUUAGAACGUCGUGAGACAGUUCGGUCCCUAUCUGCCGUGGGCGCUGGAGAACUGAGGGGGGCUGCUCCUAGUACGAGAGGACCGGAGUGGACGCAUCACUGGUGUUCGGGUUGUCAUGCCAAUGGCACUGCCCGGUAGCUAAAUGCGGAAGAGAUAAGUGCUGAAAGCAUCUAAGCACGAAACUUGCCCCGAGAUGAGUUCUCCCUGACUCCUUGAGAGUCCUGAAGGAACGUUGAAGACGACGACGUUGAUAGGCCGGGUGUGUAAGCGCAGCGAUGCGUUGAGCUAACCGGUACUAAUGAACCGUGAGGCUUAACCUU
rnacentral:rRNA from 4 species